rnacentral:misc_RNA from 1 species
CGGCGUCCUAUUUGCUAUUGUAUAUGCUUGCUAGUCAUAUAGUUGGGUCUUUUUGGUACUUGCUAGCUGUGGAACGCUAUGAUACAUGCUGGCAGCAAGCUUGUAAACACAAUGCAACGUGCAACACUGAUUUCUUGUACUGUGGGAAUCAGUACAUGACGGGUUAUAAUAGAUGGAGCAGCAUAAGUGAAUCAGUUUUAAACAAUGCUUGCCCUGCAGAUAGUGACAACUCACCAUUUGAUUUCGGGAUUUUUGAUCAGGCUUUAUCGUCUGGCAUCAUUUAUUCCAUGAAAUUCGUGGCUAAAUAUUGUUAUUGUCUGUGGUGGGGGCUGCAGAACUUAAGUACCCUCGGACAGGGACUUCAAACUAGCACAUAUCCCGGGGAGUCUAUUUUCUCUAUAGGAUUGGCUAUACUUGGGCUCAUUCUCUUUGCAUUAUUGAUUGGUAACAUGCAGACGUAUCUACAAUCUCUUACCAUUCGACUAGAAGAGAUGAGAGUUAAAAGGCGUGACUCAGAACAGUGGAUGCAUCAUCGGUUACUCCCACAAGAUCUCCGGGAACGGGUUAGGCGCUAUGAUCAGUAUAAGUGGCAGGAAACACGUGGAGUGGAUGAAGAGAAUAUAGUCCAGAGCUUGCCCAAAGAUCUUAGGAGGGAUAUCAAACGUCAUCUUUGUCUGGCU